rnacentral:lncRNA from 1 species
GGCCAACUACCAAUUGCAUAUACAACAUAAAAAUCAACUAUUUUUCCACACUGCAACAGUGUUAACCGGUUAACGCUAUAGGUUAACCGGUUAACGCAGGACAAAAAUACCAUUUCUGGCAAAACGCAACAGUGUUAACCGGUUAACGCUAUAGGUUAACCGGUUAACGCAGGCAAAACUCAACAUUUUCUCAAUUUAUAACAGUGUUAACCGGUUAACACCCUGGGUUAACCGGUUAACGCAGGCGAAACAGCAGUUCCUGCGCUAACACAAGGCAGAAUGCAGAGUUUCCGCAUUUUCCGCCGUUGGAGGACUUCCGGACCUCCGAUUCCAAAUCCGUAAAAAGCGAUACGUUCAGAAUCUC